rnacentral:rRNA from 1 species
GACGAACGCUGGCGGCGUGCCUAAUACAUGCAAGUCGAACGCUGAAGGAGGAGCUUGCUUCUCUGGAUGAGUUGCGAACGGGUGAGUAACGCGUAGGUAACCUGCCUGGUAGCGGGGGAUAACUAUUGGAAACGAUAGCUAAUACCCAUAAGAGUAUAUGUUGCAUGACAUUUGCUUAAAAGGUUCAAUUGCAUCACUACCAGAUGGACCUGCGUUGUAUUAGCUAGUUGGUGGGGUAACGGCUCACCAAGGCGACGAUACAUAGCCGACCUGAGAGGGUGAGCGGCCAAACUGGGACUGAGACACGGCCCAGAAUACUACGGGAGGGAGCAGGAGGGAAUCUUCGGCAAAGGACGGAAGUCGGACCGAGGCACGCCGCGUGAGGGAAGAAGGCUGUCGGAUCGUAAAGCUCUGUUGUAAGAGAAGAACGAGAGUGAGAGUGGAAAGUUCAGACUGUGACGGUAUCUUAGCAGAAAGGGACGGCUAACUACGUG